ACUAACAAGGAUUCCCCUAGUAACUGCGAGUGAAGCGGGAAAAGCUCAAAUUUAAAAUCUGGCGGUUUUGCCGUCCGAGUUGUAAUCUGGAGAAGUGUUUUCCGUGUUGGACCGUGUACAAGUCUCUUGGAACAGAGCGUCAUAGAGGGUGAGAAUCCCGUCUUUGACACGGACUACCAAUACUUUGUGAUACGCUCUCAAAGAGUCGAGUUGUUUGGGAAUGCAGCUCAAAAUGGGUGGUAAAUUCCAUCUAAAGCUAAAUAUUGGCGAGAGACCGAUAGCGAACAAGUACCGUGAGGGAAAGAUGAAAAGCACUUUGGAAAGAGAGUUAAACAGUACGUGAAAUUGUUGAAAGGGAAACGCUUGAAGUCAGUCGCGUUGUCCGGGACUCAGCCUUGCUUCUGCUUGGUGUAUUUCCUGGUUGACGGGCCAACAUCGAUUUUGGACGGCGGAUAAAGAUGGAGGGAAUGUGGCACCUUAGGGUGUGUUAUAGCCUUCUGUCGCAUACGUCGACUGGGAUCGAGGAUCGCAGCACGCCUUUUUGGCCGGGGUUCGCCCACGUAACGUGCUUAGGAUGUUGGCAUAAUGGCUUUAAUCGACCCGUCUUGAAACACGGACCAAGGAGUCUAACAUGCCCGCGAGUGUUAGGGUGGAAAACCCUUGCGCGUAAUGAAAGUGAAAGUUGGGACCUCUGUCAUGGAGGGCACCGACGCCCGGCCUUGAGCUUUUGUGACGGUGCCGCGGUAGAGCGUGUAUGUUGGGACCCGAAAGAUGGUGAACUAUGCCUGAAUAGGGCGAAGCCAGAGGAAACUCUGGUGGAGGCUCGUAGCGAUUCUGACGUGCAAAUCGAUCGUCAAAUUUGGGUAUAGGGGCGAAAGACUAAUCGAACCAUCUAGUAGCUGGUUCCUGCCGA
rnacentral:rRNA from 1 species